UACGUAGGGGCCGAGCGUUGUCCGGAGUUAUUGGGCGUAAAGCGCGCGCAGGCGGCUUCGCGCGUCCGACGUGAAAGCCCCCGGCUUAACCGGGAGGGUCGUUGGGUACGGCGGAGCUUGAGGGCGGGAGAGGGUGGUGGAAUUUCCGGUGUAGCGGUGAAAUGCGUAGAUAUCGGAAGGAACACCAGUGGCGAAAGCGGCUUCCUGGUCCAGCACCGACGUCAGGCACGAAAGCGUGGGGAGCAAACAGG
rnacentral:rRNA from 1 species